rnacentral:rRNA from 1 species
AACGAACGCUGGCGGCAGGCUUAACACAUGCAAGUCGAACGGGUGUAGCAAUACAUCAGUGGCAGACGGGUGAGUAACACGUGGGAACCUUCCUAGGGGUACGGAACAACUCAGGGAAACUUGAGCUAAUACCGUAUACGUCCGUAAGGAGAAAGAUUCAUCGCCCCUAGACGGGCCCGCGUCGGAUUAGGUAGUUGGUGGGGGUAACGGCCUACCAAGCCUACGAUCCGUAGCUGAUCUGAGAGGAUGAUCAGCCACACUGGGACUGAGACACGGCCCAGACUCCUACGGGAGGCAGCAGUGGGGAAUCUUGGACAAUGGGCGCAAGCCUGAUCCAGCCAUGCCGCGUGAGUGAAGAAGGCCUUAGGGUUGUAAAGCUCUUUUACCAGGGACGAUAAUGACGGUACCUGGAGAAUAAGCCCCGG